UGUUCAGAGAUAUUGCAUACUUAGCUUUCAAGUAGGCAGCAGCUCUAGCUUUUUUUCAUCAUUGUGGCUGCCAUUGGAGUGAAUGGCAACCUUCAAGAGCUUUUCUUGUUCCAAAUCAUAAACUUUGUCUGUCAUGCCUUCUUUCUGGUAUGCAUCUAUCAUAGUAGAGUAAGUCAUGAGAUCAGGUUGACAUUGCUUGUCUUUCAUUCGCUUGAAAACCCUCCCCAUCUCCAUUACGUCCUCAGCCUUUGCACACGCAUAAAUAACAGAAUUGAAUAAGGAAGUAUUUUCAGGGACCUCCAAUUUCCCAGCUAACUGGACAGUGUUGAUCACCUUAUGAAAAAGGCCUGCAUUUGCAUAUCCCCUUACGAGGCAGCAAAAGGUCUUGGUGCAACAUACAAUAAUGUCAUUGAGG
rnacentral:misc_RNA from 1 species